UUGUGAGGACGACCUCACCACCUUCCGGUGCUCCAAUGGGGGACGGCCCUU
rnacentral:ncRNA from 1 species